UCCAAUGAUGGGAUUAGAUUCAUAAUCUAAUACAUUUACGCUUCCAUUACGUUACUCUGAUUCUUCCUCAUUCUUUGAGGAAUUUAUCCUUUAGUAUUUUCUUAAAUACUUAAGGACUUACUUGACAGUUGCCAUGGUUCUGAUCCUGGGCUUACACUGAUAUCGUCUUGUACCUUUCUAGGUACAACCCAUAUCAAUGUUUUUUCAUACAAUAUGAAAUACAUAAAUCACCUUUCUGCUUACGCAUAAAGGAUUCUAUUUACGCAUUAUUUCUUUGGGAGUCAAAGGGUACGUUCCCUUUGAGAAGAGCUACCUCCUAGUCUCACUAGAAUUGUUCUUCUGAUUAAAGUUUAUCAUCAUAUGAGAAACUUCCUAGCAUCUUUUGUCUAUUAUUAGGGAUUAAUAUAAUCAAAUUAUAUCCUAAAAUCUAUCAAUAUAGAUUUCCAUCCCAUGUAUAUAGACUAUGUCUCCCAUAUACAUUCUAUCUUCAUAUAAUGUUUAAAGUCAUAACUUUAACGAAGAAAUAUUCUUUUCAUUUCCAAAAUUAAUAUAUCAUACAUAUAUUCAUAUAUAUCACAUAUAUAUUUAUAUAUAUAUAUAUAUAUAUACAAAUUUAGGAAUAUGAUUAACUCCCACUAAUCUUUUGUAAAACUAGUAAACAAAAGAUUCAUUUACAUCUUUAUGAGAAAUCAAACGAUUUGACCUUUCUCUCAUAAGACGCUUAUAGCUCCCACUAGCUUGCUAAGAUCCAUGAUGGAUGGAUCUCUACAACUUAUAUGUCUUGUGAUUCAUAGUUUUAGACAUAUAUUAUCAAGACUAUCUUAAUAAUGGUUUCGGAAACCCAUAUUAUGUCCAAACAUUGAAUCACCAUUUAGUUGUAGCUAGCAAUCUUCAAAUUAAUUGAAACUAAGACUACGUCAAAAAUGGUUCCUUCAAAGUCAACCAUUCUAUUUGAUUGUAGUCACCUUAAGCUACCAAUUAGCUUAUGAAGGUUUCAUUAUUUCGGGUCAAAUGGUACUUUACC
rnacentral:lncRNA from 1 species